rnacentral:rRNA from 1 species
UGGGGAAUAUUGGACAAUGGGCGCAAGCCUGAUCCAGCCACGCCGCGUGUGUGAUGAAGGCCUUCGGGUCGUAAAGCACUGUGGAGGGGGAAGAACAAGUUCUAGGCUAAUAUCCUAGAGCCCUGACGGUACCCCUUUAGCAAGCACCGGCUAACUCCGUGCCAGCAGCCGCGGUAAUACGGAGGGUGCAAACGUUGCUCGGAAUCAUUGGGCGUAAAGCGCGUGUAGGCGGUUAGUUAAGUCGAAUGUGAAAGCCCUGGGCUCAACCCAGGAAGUGCAUUUGAUACUGGCUAACUAGAGUACAGGAGAGGAUAGCGGAAUUCCCGGUGUAGAGGUGAAAUUCGUAGAUAUCGGGAGGAACACCAGUGGCGAAGGCGGCUAUCUGGACUGAUACUGACGCUGAGACGCGAAAGCGUGGGGAGCAAACAGG